CAUCGUGUGGUGUAAAUAGUUAUCAAAGCUACCAGGAUUAUAAUUUAACACGCCAUACGCAUGUUUAGUCUACAUAAUACUCAUCAGUGACGCUUAGAAAAAAGUUAUGAAAAUAUCAAUUCGAAAAUAAUUUCAUAUAAAAACAAAAAGAAAAAAAACUUUUCCGCCAAAUUUCAAAUCUUUCUAAAUUUAUAUUUGAAAUACAUGCAAGCC
rnacentral:lncRNA from 1 species